rnacentral:misc_RNA from 1 species
ACAAACUUGGUCAUUUAGAGGAAGUAAAAGUCGUAACAAGGUUUCCGUAGGUGAACCUGCGGAAGGAUCAUUAUCGAGGUGAAUGGGAGGGAGCGCGCGCGCGCGAGGUUGCGUGCGCCGCCUCCGUCCUUUCCUGCCCGUCCUUUGCAUGUCUGUGUGCUGCCUCGUCGCGGCGUGGGGCGCACGUUCGCUCCACGUCGAUGGCGGGCGCGGUAGCCCUUUUUACUUCGGCCGAAGCGUUGGCGGUCCGCCCCGGCAGCGGCCCGGUCUCGAAGGAGACGGGGUGCGCUGUGGGGGAGGAGGACGCGCGACCGCGGCCGGUCGUAACCCACGCUCCGGUGAAACCAUGUCUUGAAGGCUGAACUGAAUGGGGAUCCCCCCCCUCUUCCCUGCGCGGGGAAAGGGGAAGAACCCAAAGCAAACCAUGAGAAAACAAAACUUUCAACAACGGAUCUCUUGGCUCUGGCAUCGAUGAAGAACGCAGC